CCGAGUUAUCAACUCCCAAACCCCUGUGAACAUACCCAACGUUGCUUCGGCGGGACCGCCCCGGCGCCCUCGGCGUCCCGGAACCAGGCGCCCGCCGGAGGACCCAAACUCUUGUUUAAACCAUAGUGGCAUAUUCUGAGUCUCCCAAGUUAAAUAUGAAU
rnacentral:rRNA from 1 species